GGCGGGCGGGAGGGACGGGAUGCGGUGCAGUGUUGUUCUUUGCCCCGCCAAUAUUGCACUCGU
ensembl:miRNA microRNA 92b